AGCAGCAUGGCUUAGUGGAUAGAGUGUUGUUUUUGGAAUCAAGAAGACAGGUUCAAAUCCUAUUUCUGGUA
rnacentral:tRNA from 1 species